rnacentral:lncRNA from 1 species
AAGAAAGGGGUCAAAAAGAAGGAGCCACCAACAUGCUGUCUUCUAGUCAUAAGAAGAACAAAACUGACACGCAGACAGCCCUCUCACCGCUUAUGCAGAACUUAAAUACCACAUUCAGUCCAUGAGCUGACACAUAGAGCCAUGGAAGAUUUUCCUUCCACAUUGUUCCUCUCCACUAUUCUAAAACCAGUGAUGCUUGUUCAUUCAUAGCCCAACCACGUUCUGAGUACAAAGAUCUGAGUUUAGCAGAUUACUUUAGGCUGCCUUACCUUCACUGCCACAUGGAGCUUGGCUGUUUUCUUAGAAGGUCCUGAUGCUUCAUAUGUCGUACCAUCAACAUCUACAGACAUUGUGAAGACUGGGGCAUGGACUGGACCAGACUGGGACAGCAGCUUAUACUGAAGCCCCGGCCUGAUUUGGUUCAGCCUCAUCAGAGCAUUCAUGAGAUCUAUUGCUUUACUAUCUAGUACUAAGU